rnacentral:rRNA from 1 species
ACGGGUGAGUAACGCGUGGGAAUCUACCCAGCUCUACGGAAUAACUCAGGGAAACUUGUGCUAAUACCGUAUACGUCCGAUAGGAGAAAGAUUUAUCGGAGUUGGAUGAGCCCGCGUUGGAUUAGCUAGUUGGUGGGGUAAUGGCCUACCAAGGCGACCAUCCAUAUCUGGUCUGAGAGGAUGAUCAGCCACACUGGGACUGAAACACGGCCCAAACUCCUACGGGAGGCAGCAGUGGGGAAUAUUGGACAAUGGGCGCAAGCCUGAUCCAGCCAUGCCGCGUGAGUGAUGAAGGCCCUAGGGUUGUAAAGCUCUUUCACCGGUGAAGAUAAUGACGGUAACCGGAAAAGAAGCCCCGGCUAACUUCAUGCCAACAGCCGCGGUAAUACUAAGGGGGCUAGCGUUGUUCGGAAUUACUGGGCGUAAAGCGCACGUACGCGGAUUGUUAAGUUAGGGGUGAAAUCCCAGGGCUCAACCCUGGAACUGCCUCUAAUACUGGCAAUCUCGAGUCCUACAGAGGUGAGUGGAAUUCCGAGUGUAGAGGUGAAAUUCGUAGA